rnacentral:rRNA from 1 species
GACAGAGGAUGCAAGUGUUAUCCGGAAUCACUGGGCGUAAAGCGUCUGUAGGUGGUUAAAAAGUCUGCUGUUAAAAAUUGAAGUACUUAACUUCAAAGAUGACCGUAGUAAACUUUUAAACUAGAGUAUGAUAGGGUUAGAGGGAAUUUCCAGUGGAGCGGGUGAAAGUGUGUGAGAUAUUGGAAAAGACCACCAAUGGCGAAGGCACUCUACUGGGCCAUUACUGACACUGAGAGACGAAAGCUAGGGGAGCAAAUGGG